rnacentral:rRNA from 1 species
UACGUGAGGGGCGAACGUUGUUCGGUGUCACUGGGCUUAAAGGGUGCGUAGGUGGUUGCGUAAGUAACGUGUGAAAUCCCUCGGCUUACCCGGGGAAUUGCGCGUUAUACUGCGUGACUUGAGGAUUUCAGGGGAAUGGGGAACUCCAGGUGUAGCGGUGAAAUGCGUAGAUAUCGUAAGGAAGACCAGUGGCGAAGGCGGGUCUCUGGACAGUUCCUGACGCUGAGGCACGAAGGUCAGGGGAGCAAACGGG